rnacentral:lncRNA from 1 species
GUGAGAAGCCAGAAGAGGCCACUGGUGAAGGUGCAGCCUCCAUGGCAGUUGAAGGCCCAGGACUGAAGAGGUCAUGCAGAAAAGUUGAGGUUCAGCAUGAAGAAAAAAGCCUAUGCAAGGCUAUUUGUGAAAGUGCAGUCCAGUUGUAGCAGAAGAUAGCAGUGUUUUAGAGUUACCAGUACCGUGAGAUGACCACCUAGAACAGCAACAGCAGGGGAGUACAGCAGCUGGAGCCUUGAAGACAAGCUGUGUGCUACAAAGGGCAGAGCUGGAAAAUUUACCACGCCCUUGCAGGAGCCCAGAAGAUUAUGAGUGGAUCCCAGAUGUUGUAAGGUCAGAAUGUAGCUCUCAGCUACUGUUCCAGUGCCUGUCUGUGUGCUGCCCUGCUCCCUGCUAUGAUGAUAAUGGACUGAACAGCUGAAACUGUAAACCACCCUCCAGUGAAAUGUUUUAUUUUAUAAGAGUUGCCUUGGUCAUGUAUCUCCUCACAGCACAGGAACUGAAACUAAGGCUGCCACACAGUCUUUCCUCUGCACAUCAGAAGCCUUGUCAUUCCAACCGUCUUUGGAUGUGGAGACUGGCCUAGGAAGAUCACCAUUGUGCCUCCCGUUCCUUUGUCCCUGGAAUAAUAUAAGGUACAGGGAGACCAGCUGUCCCAAUUUCCUGACACCAGGACUUCGCCACAACAAAGGACAGUACCCUGGAACACUAAGUAAAACCGAACCCUGUCCACAUUAACAUGGUUUUGUGAGAACAUGUUGUCAUUGCAACAAGACAAGUAGCAAAUACAUCCUCGUAAACUUUGGAAUUUUUGACAGUUUCAUAAUGAGCAAUGAUUUUAAAACAUCAUUUUGCUUGUAUCAUGUAUAUGUAUAAGGAUUAUCUGGACUAUGUUUUAGGAAUGCCUUUGCUCAGCACUGUGAACUUCUCAUUUUUAGUAAAUAAUCUUUCCUCACACAUCUCUUAGAGAUAAAUAACUUAUUCGGUGGGCUAGAGUUAUCUCUGUGGAGACAGAGGCCUCACCUCUCCCCUCUUUUUCCACUUCCCCCAGCUAUGCAGUAUUUGGGAGUACUAAACUUAUUUCUGCACCAAACUUUUUGUACCC